rnacentral:lncRNA from 1 species
UUUGGCAUAGGAGGGAACUUGUCUAAUAGCAUCAAGAAGUGGAAGGUUGAUCUUCACUUGUUUGUAAACCUCCAUCAUCUCCUCUAGUGAAGUUUCCUUUUUGCCAAAUGGAGAGGGUGAAGUAAGAGCUUCAGAAAAUGGGGCCUUUGGGAUGUGAGUUUUGGCAGAAGAUGGACUAGCCGAAGAAGAAGAAGGUUUUAGAUUUUCAUUUGACACAUUUCUAUCCUCUUCUUCACC